rnacentral:rRNA from 1 species
CGAAAGCCUGACGGAGCAACGCCGCGUGUGGGAAGAAGGCUCUUGGGCUGUCAACCACUUUUCUCAGGGAAGAAGUUCUGACGGUACCUGAGGAAUCAGCCUCGGCUAACUCCGUGCCAGCAGCCGCGGUAAUACGGAGGAGGCAAGCGUUAUCCGGAAUUAUUGGGCGUAAAGCGUCCGCAGGGGGCGCAUCAAGUCUGCUGUCAAAGGUCGGAGCUUAACUCCGGAAAGGCAGUGGAAACUGAAGCGCUAGAGUGCGGUAGGGGUAGAGGGAAUUCCCGGUGUAGCGGUGAAAUGCGUAGAGAUCGGGAAGAACAUCGGUGGCGAAAGCGCUCUACUGGGUCGCACCUGACCCUCAGGGACGAAAGCUAAGGUAGCG